rnacentral:rRNA from 1 species
GACGAACGCUGGCGGCGUGCUUAACACAUGCAAGUCGAACGGAAAGACCCUGCUUUUGUGGGGUGCUCGAGUGGCGAACGGGUGAGUAACACGUGAGUAACCUGCCCUUGACUUUGGGAUAACUUCAGGAAACUGGGGCUAAUACCGGAUAGGAGCUCCUGCUGCAUGGUGGGGGUUGGAAAGUUUCGGCGGUUGGGGAUGGACUCGCGGCUUAUCAGCUUGUUGGUGGGUAGUGGCUUUCCAAGGCUUUGACGGGUAGCCGGCCUGAGAGGGUGACCGGCCACAUUGGGACUGAGAUACGGCCCAGACUCCUACGGGAGGCAGCAGUGGGGAAUAUUGCACAAUGGGCGGAAGCCUGAUGCAGCAACGCCGCGUGCGGGAUGACGGCCUUCGGGUUGUAAACCGCUUUCGCCUGUGACGAAGCGUGAGUGACGGUAAUGGGUAAAGAAGCACCGGCUAACUACGUG